ensembl:lncRNA
CACACCUCAACUAGGCCUCAACUAGGCCUUGACCAGGUUCUAACCAGGCCUUGACAGGGCAUUGACCACACCUCAAUUAGGCCUCAACUAGACCUCAACCAGGCCCUAACCAGACCUUGACCAGGCCUUGACCGCGCCUGGUCAUGGGGGGCCACAGCUGGCCCCUGCCAACAAUGGUGCCCUGUGUCAGCCCCGCGCCCACGGCCAGACAGCCAUCACCUCGGGGCACACCGCCGGCCGCUCUCACCUCUACACUGCUCGCUGCUUCCCAGCUCCCUCCUGACAAAUCCCUGCUCCCGAUCGCUUCUCCUCCCCGCGGGUCCAUAUUAAGCUACAUUCUCCUUUCAGCUGGGUGGAAAACAGCAGUAAUAACCAUGUGGAGAGAGCCGUGCCCCCCACCUCCACUUCCCUCCCACUUCGGGGUUCAAAUUUCAUUUCAGCAAAAAAGCUUCCCCCGCCUCCAAUUUCUUCCCCCAAACCAAGCCGCUGUCGUCUCGUCUGAUCUCGGCAGGGGCCGUAUGGAUGCUCGGCUCCUCCUGGUUCAGGAUCUGCUGCCAAUCUGGACCUCGCAAACUGGUUCUCACACAGCUCCCGCCUAGCACCUCCCUCUCGGCAUUUAUUAUUUCAUUAUUGUCCUUCCUCAGCUCGCUCCCAUGCCACCGCCCCGGGUGCCCCCGGCUCCUCAUCCCAACCCCAACCACCGAGUUGGCUGGGUGAGAUUUAUUCCCGGCGAAUUCCCGGGGGCCGGCAGCUGGAGGAGCCCGGAGCUGCCUCCCUCUCUCCCGCAGCUGAAGAUCUCAUCUCCCUCGCCCAAGGCGCUCCGUCCUCCUCCUCCAGAUAUUUUAGGCCCAGGUUUUGCGAGGAAUUUACAGGCGCCGAGCCCAAGCCGAUGCGCUGAAGUCAGCAGGAGGCGAGGAGCGUGCGCAGGGCUCGGGGCCCCGGGGGUGGUGGCGCGGGGAAGGGAUGCUGCUGGCGGCCUGGAGCUGGUUGAGCCACGGGGAGGGCAGAGGUUGGGGCUGGCGGAUGCCAGAACCACUCAGCUCUCCCUCCGCGAGGAUCAAUACCACAUUUCGGCUUCCCGCCUCGCGAGGCUGCCACAGCCCUCACGCCUGCGCGCGGUGGGCUUCGGGUGGGAGCGGGGGUCCCUGCGCUCUCCACCACAGCGCUGUUUCCCCGCUGUCACCCACCUCGCUCCCUGCGAUCUACACGCCAGCCCCAUAUGCCGACCCCUCCUGCUGCCCCACGGUUCCCCCCAAGCCCUCAAGUCACUCCGGUGUCCCCGUGGGCUUCACCCCACUGCAAAGGGAAUCCUCGGCACACGGCUGCCUUUGUCACGGCCCUGCUGGCACACACCCGCCCUACGUGCUCCAACAGGUGAGCCCCCAGGGCAGCGUUCCUGCCUGGGCCAGUAACUGUCCCCACCGGGCAGCGGGUUCGUUUGGUGCUGUUCCGCUCAGCACGUCUCUCCCUGCCACAUCCUCGGUCGGUGAGGCACAGCAUGGGGGGGUUGGGGGGGGGGGGGCAGCAGAUUUAAUGAGCUCCCCGGAGGCAUCGCCGCGCACCCCCCUCCCGUGCCCGGGAACCGUCGCUCUGAAACACAACCCCUCGGUGGCAGGGCUGGAAAAAAACCACAGGGCACAUUGCUCUCCCCCCGCUCCUUCCCCGCCUCCCCCAGCUUUUUGCUCUCCUGCCGAUGCCAAAGACCCAGCCGGGCUCUUGUGCUUUCACUCGCAGCUGCAGCUGCCGAUUUUCGCUGUAAGCCCUUGUGCCUAGAAGGCCCAGAGCGAGGGAUUCUGGGACGCGGUGAUUGAAGACAGCACCAGCGCAGAGACCAUUGCUCAGACUUUCCCUGUCUGUCGCCCCAACGCUCAACCCACAGAGAGGGAAAUAAAAAAAAUAAAAAAGGGGAAAAAAAAAAAAGAAAAAAGAAAAAAAGAAAGAAGCAAAGCAGAGAGCAAAACGGACUCAGCUCAGCUCGCCCCUUCCCACCCACGCGGCGCUGCGCGCUCUGCUCGGCACCGCCAGCCCUCACCCCGGCCACGCAGCCCCAAAACCAGGCGGUGAGGUCCAGCUGCACCGCUCUGCGAUGCUGAGCUGCCCCCCAGCACCACUGUGAGUGGCAUAAGAAACUCACAGCCGGCGCCCAGCAGCAUCCCGGUUGUUUCCCCGCUAUGGUAUUUUUCCAAGGGUGCACCUUUGGCAGAGUGAGGGGAAUGCCGGCGUGCACGGCUGUGCACCCGGUGUGAUGCACGAGCACAGCGGGGUCCCCGUGCAACGCCUCGGGAUGAGCAGCGGGAGCAAAGCCCUGCACACCGGUGAGCUGCUGUGCACAGAGGGGCUUCAACCGCUAUGGGGGAACCUUUGGGAUGCAGCCCUGCAGCCGGGCGAAUGCCCUCAAGUCCCUUCUGCAUGCAAAGGCCCCCAAGGGAUGGGGUCCCUAGUAGAGGAGUGAUACAGGGAUGCAAUGCCUGGCCUGCAACCCACGUGCUGCACUAGGCAUGGUGCAGGGCAGCAUCCCACUGACCCCAGGUGCAGCAGCACUAACGCCAGCCUCGACGAGGAAGAGACGAACACGGAGCACACCACGACGCACAGCACCCUGCGCUCACAGGGGGGCUGCACCCCAAGGGACAGAGCCCACAGAGCCACCCUGACCUUUCAGGGGUGUUCUGCAGAGCAUCCCCCACAGAGCCGAGCCCAAUCCGACGGCACCUGCAGCCCCCAGCACUAUGCAACACACCGCAGCCCCGAUGCUGGGGAGGGGACGGGAGGGGUCUCAAUGCAACCAGGGGCCGCCCCACAUGCAGACGGCCCCGCCAUGGCCCUGCAGCAGCCAGCCGGCCCCAUGGGGAGCCUAGCUCCAUCGCCGUGCCAAACCCCCCCCCCGUUCCUCCUGCUCCCCCCAAAACGCUCCCGUCGCGAGCCCGGAAGUAGGAAACAGCCCUCCCCAGCGCUGCCCUGUUUACCAUGAGCUGGUUCCAAGCACUCGGGAGAAUAGCAGGAGCAUUUCAAGGCCCUGUUUCCACUCGGCUGACACACACUAUUUAUAGAAGCCCACAAUUCUCCCAGAGCUUUCCUCGGGAUCUCAGCAGAAAUAGCCCGCCCCGGGUCCCUGCAGCCUGCUCUAAGGAGGGCAGGGCAGCGCGGCCCCCCCAGGCUCCCUAUAACCUUCCAUGGGCUUCCAUCGCUUCUCCUCCUCCGGCCGCCCGCUCCCGGCGUGUCCUUGGCUCCCCCGUCCCCAACGCCGUGCCAACCCACAGCCUCUCCCCCCAGCACAGCUUUAGGACGAGGAUCCGGGAGAAAGAAGCACUGACAUUCCCGGAGCCCGGCAGAUCCAAUCUCAUUAAGGCGGAUAACGCCGCCGCUGUUUGUUGUGACACUGUUUGUGUGAGUGACGAGCGAAGGGUUAACUCCAGGGAAUUGGGAAUACUGCCUGGCUGCUAAUAACACGGAUGAUUCCGACACGAGGAGGAUCCCUCCGUCCUCGCCUCGCCGGGUUUUGCACCGUGUGGAUAUUGCGAGGCCGCCUAUGGCUGCACCUGCCCCUAUAUACAUUGCUAUACCUGCCCCUAUAUAUUGCUAUACCUGCCCCUAUACAUUGCUAUACCUGCCCCUAUACAUUGCUAUACCUGCCCCAUAUACAAUGCUAUACCUGCCCCACACAUAUCCCUGUACCUGCCCCUAUAUAUACUGCUGUGCCUGCCCCAUGUGCUGCUGCACCUGCCCUGCACGUGCAUUGGGACGGAGGGUCGGGUCGGCUGCUGUGCCCAGAAGGUCGCGUGGAAAACAUUCCUUUGCAAGCAAGGAUGGGUUAGAAUGUAAAAGAUUUAUUAAUUUAAUCCGAAGCAUUAAAAGGUCAUGUAUUAAUCAAAGAGAUGCUUAAAACUGUCAAAGUCCUUUGUCAGGUUUGAAGUGCAUCUCUAUAGUUAUCAUAAAAUAUAUAUAGAUAUCAGUCUGGCACGGAGCCCUCGCUGGGCUGGGAGUGGAG